rnacentral:lncRNA from 1 species
CUCACCCCUUCUGCCAUGUGGGGAUAUGAGAAGUGAGCAGUCUGAAACCUGGAAGAGGGUCUUCACCAGACAUUGACUCUGUCGGUACCUUGAUCUUGGACUUCCCGGCCUCCAGAGCCGUGAAUAAGAAAUUUCUGUGAUUUACGUGGUACUCAGUCUAUGAUAGUUUGUUACAGUAGCCUGAACGGACUAAGACACCAGGAAAUAAGAAGGAUUGUUGUCCUCCUAAAGAGUUGAGUACAUCUAUUUUGGAUACCGAAAGGCUUGUUUUCCUUCCUUCUACAUCUAUGGUCACCUUCUAACAUAUAUAAAAUCCUGGUGUGAAGGUCAUCUGUAACCUUGAUAGAGUGAUAUAUGUAGAGCAAUGGAGAUGAACGCUCACAGGAGAAUGAAAGAGAAGCCUGAAGACAGUCUCAUCUCUGGAUUUUCUGGUUAAGAACAGAUUCUUUUUUAACGAAGCUAUUUUGAAUUGGGUUUCUGUCUUGUGAUAGCAAAAGACAUCCAAUUAAUUUUUAAAGAAAGACACCAGGCUGAUUUCCAGUGUAACAGCAAAGGUCAAAACUGCCAUGCUGCAGGUCACUUCAGCCAGUUUUAGAUCUUUUUGGAAGACGAGAAAAUGAAGCUGGCGGAAUGGUCUGGAUUGGAUUACCCAUCUGGGAAGUUGCUAAAUUUUGACAGGGCCUCGUGCCUAGGAGCGAGUGUUGCCUCUAGAAGCUGAGAGCAGUCCCUGGGGACCUCAGUCCUACAGCUACAAGGGACUGAAUUCUGCCAACAACCUGGAUGAGCUUGGAAGAGGACCCUGAGCCCCAGGUGGGAACGCAGCCCAGGCCAAUAUCUUGGUUGCAUCCAUGUUAGACCCUGAGCAGAGAACCCAGUGACACUGUGUCUGGACGUCUGACCUACAGAUACCAUGAGACAGUAAGUGGAUGUCAUUUUAAGGCACUGUUUUUGGUAAUUUGUACACAGCAAUAGAAAACUAAUGUGAUCUGACUUCCUUUUCUAUAUUUCUUUCACUCCUUUUCCACCAUAGAUGAUACAACAGUAGGCCUCACGUGAUUAACCUCAAAAUAAGCUAUCAAGACAGUAAUUGUAAUGGAAACAUGGCAAAUGGAAGCUGACUUCCAGUGUGUUAAGGCAACAUUCUGUUUGUUCUUGAAAUUGGGGUGCAAUGCCUUGAACUGAUGUCGGAAAAAACUUGCUCCCUGAAGGCAGAGAACUGAGUG